rnacentral:rRNA from 2 species
AAGCCAUGCAUGUCUAAGUAUAAACAAAUUUAUACAGUGAAACUGCGAAUGGCUCAUUAAAUCAGUUAUAAUUUAUUUGAUAUUCACUUACUACUUGGAUAACCGUGGUAAUUCUAGAGCUAAUACAUGCGUACAUAACCUCGACUUCUGGAAGAGGUGCACUUAUUAGAUAAAAAGCCAACGCGGGCAACCGCUUGUAUGGUGAUUCAUAAUAAUUAAGCGAAUCGCAUGGCCUUGUGCCGGCGAUGAUGCAUUCAAAUUUCUGCCCUAUCAAGUUUCGAUGGUAGGUUAGUGGCCUACCAUGCUUUUAACGGGUAACGGGGAAUUAGGGUUCGAUUCCGGAGAGGGAGCCUGAGAAACGGCUACCACAUCCAAGGAAGGCAGCAGGCGCGCAAAUUACCCAAUCCCGACACGGGGAGGUAGUGACAAUAAAUAACAAUACAGGGCCUUUACGGGUCUUGUAAUUGGAAUGAGUACAAUUUAAAUCCCUUAACGAGGAACAAUUGGAGGGCAAGUCUGGUGCCAGCAGCCGCGGUAAUUCCAGCUCCAAUAGCGUAUAUUAAAGUUGUUGCAGUUAAAAAGCUCGUAGUUGAAUUUUGGCCUUGGGUGGUUUGGUUUGGCCUUCAUUGGUCAAUGCCUUUUCCGCCUAGGUCUUACCUUCUGGGUUAGCUAGUGUCAYUUCGGUGGCGCUAGUGAACCAGAACUUUUACUUUGAAAAAAUUGGAGUGUUUAAAGCAGGCUUUCAAGCUUGAACAUAUUAGCAUGGAAUAAUGAAAUAGGACUUUGGCCUUAUUUCGUUGGUUUCUAAAGCCAAAGUAAUGAUGAAUAGGGAUAGUUGGGGACAUUAGUAUUCAAUUGUCAGAGGUGAAAUUCUUGGAUUUAUUGAAGACUAACUUCUGCGAAAGCAUUUGUCAAGGAUGUUUUCAUUAAUCAAGAACGAAAGUUAGGGGAUCGAAGACGAUCAGAUACCGUCGUAGUCUUAACCAUAAACUAUGCCGACUAAGGAUCGGAUGGUGUUAUAUUUUAUAUUGACCCAUUCGGCAUUUCAGCGAAAGCCAAGUUUUUGGGUUCCGGGGGGAGUAUGGUCGCAAGGCUGAAACU